UGCUCCUUGGGUGGCGAGUGGCGGACGGGUGAGGAAUACAUCGGAAUCUACUCUGUCGUGGGGGAUAACGUAGGGAAACUUACGCUAAUACCGCAUACGACCUACGGGUGAAAGCAGGGGAUCUUCGGACCUUGCGCGAUUGAAUGAGCCGAUGUCGGAUUAGCUAGUUGGCGGGGUAAAGGCCCACCAAGGCGACGAUCCGUAGCUGGUCUGAGAGGAUGAUCAGCCACACUGGAACUGAGACACGGUCCAGACUCCUACGGGAGGCAGCAGUGGGGAAUAUUGGACAAUGGGCGCAAGCCUGAUCCAGCCAUACCGCGUGGGUGAAGAAGGCCUUCGGGUUGUAAAGCCCUUUUGUUGGGAAAGAAAUCCAGCUGGCUAAUACCCGGUUGGGAUGACGGUACCCAAAGAAUAAGCACCGGCUAACUUCGUGCCAGCAGCCGCGGUAAUACGAAGGGUGCAAGCGUUACUCGGAAUUACUGGGCGUAAAGCGUGCGUAGGUGGUCGUUUAAGUCCGUUGUGAAAGCCCUGGGCUCAACCUGGGAACUGCA
rnacentral:rRNA from 1 species